CGACGCGGCGCGGGUUGACACAUUCACGCGGGUAUUAUGCGGAGAGAAAUAUAAGGAAAAGCGCUUGCGCUGAGCAACGUGGGUCGGCGCGAAACAAAGUGGGAGUGCAGCGCUUGUGCAGUGCGGCGGAGUGAAAUCUGGUUACCGGGAUUUAACAGCUGCUUGUGCGCUAGAGGAUAUAGAGGGCAAUAAAACCGAGCUAAAUCGUCUCGUCAAUUACGGAUAUACUUACGCAGAAUAACAAUAGUCUCGCCGGUUUACAGCGUCUCUCGCAGAUGCAAAUUGUCAUCCAAAGCUUGCUUAGAACUAUACGUUUCGAGUUGAAAAUAAAUUUAUAUGAAUAAAAUAACAAGAA